CCUAAACCCUACCUUAGAGUAAAAAGCUUGCACUCUUAUGGCCUCACGCUUCACGCAGUCCGCAAGUCGCCUAAGCUUGUAACUUGUAAGCUUCCCAGCCUUAACGGAGUUUACAUUGCUGUCGCUGCACAAGCACAAUCACAACCACCGUCGUCCGUCGCCAGGAGCCCAGUAUCCGCCUCGCCCUCGUCGGUCACAGCCAGCCAUCGCCGACUCGCCCGUUUUAGCUUGCCAUGGCCGAUUCGCUUGUCACCGUCGGGCUCGCAGCGUCGGAACACCAAGCCUAACACUGCUAACACUUUGCAUUAUCAUCGGUGGGGUACUAUUCCGUGUAUCCGGUCUCCAACUCGGAGAAUAUCUACGGUUUAGCCCGCACUGAAUCCUAAACCUCCCAUGCACAUUUCCAAUCUUAGGUACACUCAGUAGAAUGGCGAUCGUUUUAGACGUGAAAGACGCGAGAGAAUGGUCUUAUAGAGGCGAAGGAGCUGUCAAUCUGGUUCUUUCUUAUCGUGGAACCUCUCCACAUUUUCUUGGAAAAGUUUUGAGGAUACAAAAGGUUCCAACAAAUGGGUCUGAAAAUGAGAAUGGUCAUCCAGGUCUAACCAUGCAUGAAAUCAUCCUUUGGAAAGAUGUGAAAGAGCUUGCAUCAGCCCCUACUAGGGAGAUUGCAGAGCACUUCUUUGUCCAGCAUGUAAUGUGCCCAUUAUUGGGUUCUGAGCAUGUUGAUGCUGGGAUUCGCAUCCUUGUAUCCAGAGAAUUUCUAGAGGAAGUUGAAAAGAAUGUCCUUCGCAAGCGCCCUACUUGGCGGGUUGAUGCUGCUAAGGUCAAUCUCCGGAGUGAUUCUAUUUUACUGAUGUCUGAUCAUUCAAUAUUUCCCCAUGUUACACCUCAAGAGGAACUGUGCAUAUGCGUUGAAAUAAAGCCCAAAUGUGGGUUCCUUCCAGUUUCAGAAUUUAUUAUAGAAAGUAAUGCUCUUAAAAGGAGAACCACUCGUUUCAAGAUGCACCAGGCUCUGAAGUUUCAUCAAGGGAAGAUAUCAUAUAUAAGUGGAUAUGAUCCACUUGAUAUGUUCUCUAGGUCUAAAGACAGAUUAGACAAAGCAAUCAAGGAUCUUUUUAUGACCCCACAGAAUAACUUUCGAGUUUUUGUGAAUGGUGGUCUCAUAUUCGGGGGCUUUGGUGGUGGUGCAGAAUCUACAAAUUCUAAAGCUGGUCAGGCAUUUGAAGAUGCACUCAAGAAUAUAAUUUUUGCAAAAGAAGAAGGGAUGCGUACGGAAUUUUUUCUUGAGCUCAUAUCUGAGGCAGUUUUCAGUUCAGGAUUACUAAAUCGACUUCUUGAAGUCCAGAAGCUUGAUAUUUUUGACAUUGAGGGUGCAAUUCAUGUGUAUUACAAUGUUAUUUCUCAGCCCUGUAUGGUUUGCAGAGAUUUAGGCAAUGACUUGUCAAAAAGGUUUAACACCUUGCAUUCUAUUUCAAUGGAAGAAAGUUGGAAGAUAUUGAGGGACUAUUUAAUAGCUGCUACUGCAAAGGACUUGAGUAUGAUGAUUAGUUUUAGACCUCGAGAAGAUGGGAAACGGGAAUCUUCAUAUAGUCUUGUCUCCUUAAAGUCCACCAACCAAAAUUUUGAUUACAAGGCAUCUUUCAUUGACCUGGACCUGAAACCUCUAAAAAAGAUGGAGUACUACUAUGAAUUGGACAAGAAGAUAGUCAGCAGUUAUGUAAAGAUGGUAAAUUCAGGAAAGGGGAUGGCUUGUUCAUAUUAAUUCAUUGCUGCAGAAGAUACUGUGUACAAAGAUGUUCUGGUAACUGAUUGAAAUGUUUGGAGCAUAUUCUUUAGUAACCUUGAUGAUUUCUCUGAUUCUUCCUGUUUGUGUUUGUUAAUUGAAGUUUUAUUGGUUGUGGAUAGUGUCCAUUUAUAAGAGUAAAGAGACAUGAUGAAUUUGAACCAAGAAAUUUAGGGGAUUAUGAUAUUAUACAGUAAAACACAAAGGAAAAAAAACAAGGGGAUUUUAAGAAUAUCCCUCCAACAAGAAUGAAUUCUUGCCCUCUGCUACUUAGAGCUAAUUGUUCCAAUUCCGCCGGAUGCCCUCUCUUCUAACAGGGUCUCCCUGUUUAUAAUGUAUUACCAUAUGUAAAAUAAGGAAGGAGCAUCAAUUAUUUAUUACAUAAUCAAUCAAUCCCUAAUUACAUGCUCUAUAAAAUAAGCAAAGAAUUAGAUAAUCAGUCAAUCCUUGAUUAUAUGCUUCCUUGAAUUUUGCCACAUGAAUGAUUAUUUGAUUACUUUCCUUUCCUGCCUGAUUUGUAUCAUCCGAUCCAUGGCCAAGGAAGGAAAAUGUGAAUAUUCAAGGAAGAGCAAUCUAUAUACAAUUAAGUUUAACCUGUAAAUCAAGUUUUGACUAAUUUAAAUACAACUACCAAUAUGGCUUUGGAAAAUCAUUGCUUUACAAGAGGUGUAGUUAGAAUAAAUAUACAUUGAAAGUGAUUUCAUUGCUUUAGGGAGAGGCGUGCAAAAUUGGUAGACAUAUGGAGGCACAAGAGAGAGGAAGAAGUAGGAAGUGAACAUGAAAUUCCGUCCUCAGGGAAACAUUAUUUUCUUUAUUAGAAAAGAUGCUGUUCUGUUAUGCAAUUUAGGCUGUCCUCAUUAAUCAAAGAUUCUGAUCUUUCCUUUGCUCUCUCAUAAUUUGUGCUAAUCAAUGACUUCCUGUAGAGCUGGAAGAGUCUGAUGGUUCAGCAUGCUUCUCUCAUUUAAAACUCUCAAUCCGAGGAGUUAUUGCCUCAAGCAAAAUGGAUACAUGGAAAAGCUAGGAGGGCUUGCUUCAAAGUCAGGAGUAUUCUGUACUUGAAUCAGCAAGAAAACAGUGGUGUCAGUGGAUCUUCGUUGUUCAAAGUGCAGAUUUAAGGUGAUGAAGUUAAUAUCAAGAGUAGAAGGGAUUAACUCCAUUGCCCUUGAUGUUGUCAAAAGUACAGUGACAGUGAUUGGCGAGGCUGAUCCAAUAUGUAUCAUCAAACAAGUUAGGAAAUUCAGAAGAUCUGCGCAAAUAACAAGUAUAGGCCCUCCCGAGCAGGAAAAGAAGAAAGAAGAGAAGAAAGAUGAGAAGAAGGAUGCUAAGAAAGAUGAGAAGAAAGAUGAGAAAAAAGAUGCUGUUUGUUCUCUUCCCAGUACUACUUGUCAGAGAUGUCAUGUCUGGUAUGCUAUAGGGGAAGAUCACUAUAGUCAUUGUAACAUCUUAUGAUCAAAGUUUCUUAUAAUUUUCUGUUUAUAAAUCUCCCAUCUAUGGCUAUUUGUGAUCUGAAUCUAAUCAAUCUAUCAUCAACCAUUCUUUGCGA